rnacentral:rRNA from 1 species
GUAUGGGGAUCUGCCCGAUAGAGGGGGAUAACUACUGGAAACGGUGGCUAAUACCGCAUAAUGUCUACGGACCAAAGCAGGGGCUCUUCGGACCUUGCACUAUCGGAUGAACCCAUAUGGGAUUAGCUAGUAGGUGGGAUAAAGGCUCACCUAGGCGACGAUCUCUAGCUGGUCUGAGAGGAUGAUCAGCCACACUGGGACUGAGACACGGCCCAG